rnacentral:rRNA from 1 species
AUUGAACGCUGGCGGCAUGCCUUACACAUGCAAGUCGAACGGCAGCACGGGUGCUUGCACCUGGUGGCGAGUGGCGAACGGGUGAGUAAUACAUCGGAACAUGUCCUGUAGUGGGGGAUAGCCCGGCGAAAGCCGGAUUAAUACCGCAUACGAUCUACGGAUGAAAGCGGGGGACCUUCGGGCCUCGCGCUAUAGGGUUGGCCGAUCGCUGAUUAGCUAGUUGGUGGGGUAAAGGCCUACCAAGGCGACGAUCAGUAGCUGGUCUGAGAGGACGACCAGCCACACUGGGACUGAGACACGGCCCAGACUCCUACGGGAGGCAGCAGUGGGGAAUUUUGGACAAUGGGCGAAAGCCUGAUCCAGCAAUGCCGCGUGUGUGAAGAAGGCCUUCGGGUUGUAAAGCACUUUUGUCCGGAAAGAAAUCCUUGGCCCUAAUACGGUCGGGGGAUGACGGUACCGGAAGAAUAAGCACCGGCUAACUACGUG